UGGAGUUGUACAUGUCUGCACCUGCUACAUCAACUCCUGCUGGAUCACAGACUGGUAAUGUUGGACUGAAUCACGAUGUUCAACCAAGUGUUUCGUCAAGUUUUUCACAGGCUGCUACUCUGAGGGCUUAAGUAUUGUGAACUUCAGCUCAUGGUAAUUCGACAUCAUUCAUACAAGUCAAAUGACGACAUCCACACACAUUUCAAGGCAAUGUUUCCAGAUUCGUACAUGUAAAAACUUUCACCUGUGGCACAGAUAAAACGGCAUACAUAGCCAGAUUUGGUAUUGUGUUGUUUAUUAAAAGACCACUUACCACAAAAGUUAAUGAUGAAUCGUUCAUUGUUAUGUUCGACGAAAGCAUCAACAAAAAACAAACAACUAGACCUUCAGGUGAGGCACUGGACCAUGGAUGAAACGGGAACAUACAUUUGCUCCCGCUACUAUGGUUCUGUUGCUGGGCCAUUCCACAGCUGAGGAUUUAUUGGACAAAUUCAAGCAAGAUGCUUUCUGUGUCAGUGGAUGGGCCAAGUAUUAAUUGGAAAUUUGUGCAGCUACUACAGCAAGAAUACAGUGAACAGUUUGGUGGAGCUCAGAUUCAGAAUGUGGGAAGCUGUGGUCUUCAAAUUAAUCACAAUGCUAUCAAGGGUGGAUUUGGAGUGUGGCAAGUAGAGAAGCUUCUGAAGGCCCUGCACGUCCUUUCCCACUGUGCCCCUGCAAGGCGGCAAGACUUCAGUUCAGUGACUAAGUCCACAAAAUUUCCCCUACCUUUUUGUGAGCAUCGCUGGAGAAUUUGCCAGCAGUGGAAAGAGCAAUUGAAAUUUGACCAUCCAUUGUCACCUAUGUGGACCAGGUGAAAAUUAAAAACCUCCUCAACCCAGGAUCAUCCUUAUAUGACACUGUAGCAGAGGCCUGAAUGGAUCCCCUAACUGUGCCAUAUCGGCACCUCUACAUAUCCAUCUCAAUAAACUUUCAGCCGUUUCUAAAACUGAUGUUCCCAUGAUCCCCUUCCUGAGCAAAGACUUGGAAGAUCUUGUCAGGAGCCUUCUCCGAUGCUUCAUCCAGCGGGACAUCCUUUUGUUUCUGUGUCAAAGCUUGUCAGGCUUGAUGAGACAUAUCGGAGCCAAUGGGUCAGUCCAAAGGAGGUGGAUAUUGGAAUGGGAGCAACAGCUGCCUUGAAGGUGAUGUGAUUGCACAGCAGUUUGGGACAUUUCUCUUCAAUGAGGCCAGAGUAGCAAGCUUCAAGGAAUUCAUUCCCACAGAACCAAACUACAGAGUCGACAUGUUUUUGCAUCAUCUACCUCAUCACCUGAGCUGUGGGGUUUUGUUAAAAAGCUGCUGAUUCUCUCCCAUGGCCAAGCAACAGUUGAACGUGGGUUCUCAGUCAACAAAGAGGUGGUAACAUGGAUGAAGACACAAUUGUUGUCCAAAGACUUAUCUGUGACCAUGUGAGAGUGUAUGGUGCAGUGACCCAGGUACCUCUUACAAAAGAGUUACUAAACUACCGUGCAACUGCACGGACCAGGUACAGAAUACACCUAGAUGAGGAAAAAGACAAAGGAAGAAAAAUGGCUGAAGAUGAACUUUAAUUUCUAUGGAAGAAAAGAAAAACAAUCCACAGUGUAUACGGAGACUUGUUUAAUAGAUAUUUUUAAAAAGUACCAUCUG